UACAAUUUUAUGAUCAGAUAGUUUAGAAAAAAUUAAAAUUGUAGGUGCUAGCACCGGGGAUAAUACUAGUAUAUAAAGGUUUCCAACUACCCGAACCACAUACCCUUAAUAUUUGGUUUAGUACUAAUUAUAAAUUAAGAUAGUAUGCUAGUCGUAGUCCCUGUUCUGGAACGCGGUAGGCGCUAGUCGGGCGGUCGGGUUGGGCCUAGCGCCUAAAGAAAAAAUCGGGGAUUAAUCGGAAAUUAUGCGGGGCGG
rnacentral:lncRNA from 1 species